rnacentral:rRNA from 1 species
GCUUAGACAACCAGGAGGUUGGCUUAGAAGCAGCCAUCCUUGAAAGAGUGCGUAACAGCUCACUGGUCAAGUGAUUCUGCGCCGAUAAUGUAGCGGGGCUCAAGUACACCGCCGAAGUUGUGGCAAUGACCCUUUGAGGGUUGUUGGGUAGGGGAGCGUCGUGUAGCCGGUGAAGCUGCGGUGUAAACCAGUGGUGGAGGCUAUGCGAGUGAGAAUGCAGGCAUGAGUAGCGAAAGAUGAGUGAGAAACUCAUCCGCCGGAUGAUCAAGGGUUCCAGGGUCAAGUUAAUCUGCCCUGGGUUAGUCGGGGCCUAAGGCGAGGCCGACAGGCGUAGUCGAUGGAUAACGGGUUGAUAUUCCCGUACCGGUGAAAAACCGCCCAUACUGAUAUUGUGAUGCUAACCAUGCGAAGCAUGAUGUGCAGGCUUUUGUUUGUGUGUUGUGUGGGUUGUGGGACCCGAUCUUUGGAGGUAAACGUAUUAACAGGUGUGACGCAGGAAGGUAGCCAAGCCACGCGAUGGUUGUCGUGGUCUAAGCGUGUAGGGUUGUCGGUUGUUAAAUGCGCCGGCUGUGUGCCUGAGACGUGAUGGGACCCCGUUUUUGGGGGAUUUGGUGAUCCUAUGCUGCCGAGAAAAGCAUCGGCGUGAGGUUUUAGCCGCCCGUACCCUAAACCGACACAGGUGAUCAGGUAGAGAAUACUAAGGCGAUCGAGAGAAUCAUGGUUAAGGAACUCGGCAAAAUGCCCCCGUAACUUCGGGAGAAGGGGGACCUUGAGCGUGAUGGGCACUUGCUGCCUGGAGCGUGUAUGGGUCGCAGAGACCAGGGGGAAGCGACUGUUUAUCAAAAACACAGGUCCGUGCGAAGUCGUAAGACGAUGUAUACGGACUGACUCCUGCCCGGUGCUGGAAGGUUAAGAGGAUUGGUUAGCCCUUUUUGGGCGAAGCUGAGAAUUUAAGCCCCAGUAAACGGCGGUGGUAACUAUAACCAUCCUAAGGUAGCGAAAUUCCUUGUCGGGUAAGUUCCGACCUGCACGAAUGGCGUAACGACUUCUCUACUGUCUCAACCAUGAACUCGGCGAAAUUGCAGUACGAGUAAAGAUGCUCGUUUCGCGCAGCAGGACGGAAAGACCCCGUGACCUUUACUAUAGUUUGGUAUUGGUGUUUGGUUUGGCUUGUGUAGGAUAGGUGGGAGACUGUGAAGCAUGGACGCUAGUUUGUGUGGAGUCGUUGUUGAAAUACCACUCUGGUCAAUCUGGAUGUCUAACUUCGGGCCAUGAUCUGGUUCAGGGACAGUGCCUGAUGGGUAGUUUAACUGGGGCGGUUGCCUCCUAAAGUGUAACGGAGGCGCCCAAAGGUUCCCUCAGCCUGGUUGGCAAUCAGGUGUUGAGUGUAAGUGCACAAGGGAGCUUGACUGUGAGACUGGCAGGUCGAGCAGGGACGAAAGUCGGGACUAGUGAUCCGGCGGUACGUUGUGGAACGGCCGUCGCUCAACGGAUAAAAGGUACCUCGGGGAUAACAGGCUGAUCUUGCCCAAGAGUCCAUAUCGACGGCAUGGUUUGGCACCUCGAUGUCGGCUCGUCGCAUCCUGGGGCUGGAGUCGGUCCCAAGGGUUGGGCUGUUCGCCCAUUAAAGCGGUACGCGAGCUGGGUUCAGAACGUCGUGAGACAGUUCGGUCCCUAUCCGCUGCGCGCGUUGGAAAUUUGAGAAAGGCUGUCCUUAGUACGAGAGGACCGGGACGGACGAACCUCUGGUAUGUCAGUUGUACCGCCAGGUGCAUGGCUGAUUGGCUACGUUCGGGAGGGAUAACCGCUGAAAGCAUCUAAGCGGGAAGCCUGUUUCGAGAUGAGAUUUCCUGGCACUUUUGGUGUGUGAGGCUCCUUAUAGAUGAUGAGGUUGAUAGGCCGGGUAUGGAAGCGAGGACUGAAGACUCGUGGAGUUGACUGGUACUAAUAGGCCGAAGGCUUACUUUU